AAAAUAAGACUGUACAACAUGGGCAAGGUGACCAUUUGGAGAGGACUUGGAGUCCACGCUUCUCAGGAUGUAUGCAGUCUGAGGAAUGUCACUUCACUUCCCCUUCAUGAACCUCAGUUUCUUGAUCUAUGAACUGGAGACAGUAACAUUCCCUCUGCUUCCUUGACUGCAUUGUUAAAAGAACCCAAAGAGGGGACAUUUGUGAACAACAAAAACUGUAACGAGUGCCAUAGAAGGACACCUGAACGUCAUGCUCAGUCAGCUGCUCUGGAAAUUGCUACUAAGAGCAGACAUCGAAUGAGAGCAAUUAGAAAGCAGUGGGGGAGGAGUGGGGGGGGGUUAAAAUAGAUGAAUGAGCUCACAGCCACACAGAGAGGCUCUUCUGCGGGGAGAAUGCCAAGGGCUGGAGAGAAAAACGUGGGCAAAACCAGAAGGUGAGCGGUGGCUCCAGGAAGUCUGUUUAUUCCUACAGAGGCUUGGGGCUGGGGUGACAACUCACGAUGUGGCACUUUCUGAGUCAAUCCAUACUAACAGUCACAUGCUCAAUCCAGAGCCAGAUGCAAGCACAACAAAGCCAAGGUCGGGCUGAACAUAGAAAUGAGAGAGAAGAGGCUGCAGGUGGGUGGACCAGCACGAUGGAGCUGCGUCAGAGGACCUUGCUGCUGACUAAUCUUGUCAAAGCAUCUUUUUCUGAAUUGCAUAAAUGCCAUCUACACAGGCUGAAGAACAUUGGAGACGAAAACUUUAAAGUCGGCUGCACACGGGACACACUAUAAAUAGUGUUCUGAAGAGGAGCAGGGUGUUCCGGGUCAUGGCUCUCUGGAAGUUCUCUAGGAUUUCAUGGUUGAGCCACACAGACAUGCAAGAAGUCAUUCAUUGGUUUAAGCUGAAUUAAUGGCCAGUGGGUUCCCCACCACCACCCUCAUUCAACGAGGGCUGCCUUUGUAGUGUAGAUGAUAGAAAAAUGUAUGCAGAUUUUCCGGCAAAAUUAUUUUUCUACUUGUAUACCCCUUCACUAGUAGUAGGUAUUUCAUUGGAGGAAAGCAGUCAAGAAUGGUUGCAAAGAGCUUUAUGGGAAGAGUUACAUCCCAGCCAACAACAAGACUUUAGUGACAGCGGUGUGCUAGGUGGUUAUGGGCUGUACCCUAUCACAGUUUUCUGAUGGGGGGGGAUGGAUAUUGUGAUAUUGUGAGGCUCUACUGCAUCCCCAUCCCAUCCCAAUACUCACAGAUAGGGAAAGCUCUUGGUGCAGCCUCGAGUGCCAGGGAAGAGACAGUGCCCAAACUCAGCUGCCCACAGCUACCCACUCACUGGAGUUGGUGUAUAAAUAAAUGCCUUGACCCUUCAGUGCA
rnacentral:lncRNA from 1 species